GGGGCAUUAGCUCAAUUGGUAGAGCACCAGACUCUUAAUCUGGGUGUUCGGGGUUCGAGACCCCGAUGCCUCA
rnacentral:tRNA from 1 species